AAGUCGUAACAAGGUUUCCGUAGGUGAACCUGCGGAAGGAUCAUUAACACGUAUCCAACGUUAAACAACCCUGUGAACUUUAAGUCCCCUCUUGCAGCCCAUGAGGAACAGCAUUCGGGACCUCUGUCCAAAAGGAGUUGCAAUCGAAGGGUGGAAGCAGUGGCAUGGCUUCCCCAAGCAGUUAGUGAAUGACAGUGUCACUGACUGUGUAAGGAUAACGCCUCACGGUUGCUAGAGGUCGAUCACCGACCGGCAGACAUGUCACAGGGUCACCACGCCCCUUAAUCACUCCACUUGAAAAUGCCCCGCCUAGUGGUAACGCGCUAGGUAAAAAAAACCGAACAACUGUUAACAAUGGAUAUCUUGGUUCUC
rnacentral:misc_RNA from 1 species